rnacentral:rRNA from 1 species
UACGUAGGAUGCGAGCGUUGUCCGGAAUUAUUGGGCGUAAAGAGUACGUAGGCGGUUUGUUAAGUUUGGGCUUAAAGACUGGGGCUCAACCCCAGGAGUGGCUCGGAAACUGACAGACUAGAGGAUGGCAGAGGAAGGUGGAAUUCCCAGUGUAGCGGUGAAAUGCGUAGAUAUUGGGAGGAACACCAGUGGCGAAAGCGACUUUCUGGGCCAUUCCUGACGCUGAGGUUCGAAAGCUCGGGGAGCAAACAGG